AUUGAACGCUGGCGGCAGGCCUAACACAUGCAAGUCGAGCGGAUGAAGGGAGCUUGCUCCUGGAUUCAGCGGCGGACGGGUGAGUAAUGCCUAGGAAUCUGCCUGGUAGUGGGGGAUAACGUCCGGAAACGGGCGCUAAUACCGCAUACGUCCUGAGGGAGAAAGUGGGGGAUCUUCGGACCUCACGCUAUCAGAUGAGCCUAGGUCGGAUUAGCUAGUUGGUGGGGUAAAGGCCUACCAAGGCGACGAUCCGUAACUGGUCUGAGAGGAUGAUCAGUCACACUGGAACUGAGACACGGUCCAGACUCCUACGGGAGGCAGCAGUGGGGAAUAUUGGACAAUGGGCGAAAGCCUGUUCCAGCCACGCCGCGUGUGUGAAGAAGGUCUUCGGAUUGUAAAGCACUUUAAGUGGGGAGGAAGGGCAGUAAGUUAAUACCUUGCUGUUUUGACGUUACCAACAGAAUAAGCACCGGCUAACUUCGUG
rnacentral:rRNA from 1 species